rnacentral:rRNA from 1 species
CAGUAGCCGCGGUAAUACGAAGGGUGCAAGCGUUACUCGGAAUUACUGGGCGUAAAGCGUGCGUAGGUGGUGGUUUAAGUCCGUUGUGAAAGCCCUGGGCUCAACCUGGGAAUUGCAGUGGAUACUGGGUCACUAGAGUGUGGUAGAGGAUAGUGGAAUUUCCGGUGUAGCAGUGAAAUGCGUAGAGAUCGGAAGGAACAUCUGUGGCGAAGGCGACUAUCUGGGCCAACACUGACACUGAGGCACGAAAGCGUGGGGAGCAAACAGGAUUAGAUACCCGGGUAGUCCCUGUCUCUUAUAC